rnacentral:lncRNA from 1 species
CACUUUUCAGUGAGGAAACUGAGGCUCGAACACAAACAUAGUGAGUGAAAUAGCCAGUACUAGAAUCAUGUCUUCUUGAGACCAAAGCAAGUGCUCAUACCAUGAUACUGCACAGUCUGAGGGAAUGGGAGCUGGGCUCACUGGCAGGGCUGAGAAAUCCAGUUGCUAGGUCUUGGGCAAAAGGGCAGCGAAGAAGUGAAUGGAGGCUGAAUUCUGUGCAGGUUAAACUAGUUCGAAGGAUGGGGACCUUAGACCACUGCAGGAUGGGCAUGUGAUUUGGAUCUGCCAAACAAAUGACUUCUAUCCCCCGAGCUAC